rnacentral:tRNA from 1 species
GGAAUUGUGCCUGAAUAAAGGACCACUUUGAUAGAGUGUUUAAAGAGGGUUAGAACCCCCCCAACUCCU